rnacentral:rRNA from 1 species
AACGAACGCUGGCGGCAUGCCUAACACAUGCAAGUCGAACGGCAGCACGGGAGCAAUCCUGGUGGCGAGUGGCGAACGGGUGAGUAAUAUAUCGGAACGUGCCCAGUCGUGGGGAUAACGUAGCGAAAGCUACGCUAAUACCGCAUACGAUCUAUGGAUGAAAGCGGGGGAUCGCAAGACCUCGCGCGAUUGGAGCGGCCGAUAUCAGAUUAGGUAGUUGGUGAGGUAAAGGCUCACCAAGCCGACGAUCUGUAGCUGGUCUGAGAGGACGACCAGCCACACUGGGACUGAGACACGGCCCAGACUCCUACGGGAGGCAGCAGUGGGGAAUUUUGGACAAUGGGCGCAAGCCUGAUCCAGCAAUGCCGCGUGCAGGAUGAAGGCCUUCGGGUU